rnacentral:rRNA from 1 species
AUUGAACGCUGGCGGCAUGCCUUACACAUGCAAGUCGAACGGUAACGGGCCUUCGGGCGCCGACGAGUGGCGAACGGGUGAGUAAUGCAUCGGAACGUGCCCUGAAGUGGGGGAUAACGUAGCGAAAGUUACGCUAAUACCGCAUAUUCUGUGAGCAGGAAAGCAGGGGAUCUUCGGACCUUGUGCUUUAGGAGCGGCCGAUGUCGGAUUAGCUAGUUGGUGAGGUAAAGGCUCACCAAGGCGACGAUCCGUAGCGGGUCUGAGAGGAUGAUCCGCCACACGGGGACUGAGACACGGCCCAGACUCCUACGGGAGGCAGCAGUGGGGAAUUUUGGACAAUGGGCGCAAGCCUGAUCCAGCCAUGCCGCGUGAGUGAAGAAGGCCUUCGGGUUGUAAAGCUCUUUCGGCGGGGAAGAAAUUGCACUCUCUAAUACAGGGUGUAGAUGACGGUACCCGCAUAAGAAGCACCGGCUAACUACGUGCCAGCCGCCGCAGUAACAC